GACGUUGAAAAGUCUUCGGAUGACCUGUGGGUAGGGGUGAAAGGCCAAUCAAACUCGGAAAUAGCUCGUACUCCCCGAAAUGCCUUUAGGGGCAGCGUGUAGCAUAGUUUAUUAGAGGUAGAGCUACUGAUUGGAUGCGGGGGCUUCACCGCCUACCAAUUCCUGACAAACUCCGAAUGCUAUAUAAUGUUUCCCAGCAGUGAGGGCAUGGGUGCUAAGGUCCAUGUCCGAGAGGGAAAGAACCCAGACCAUCAGCUAAGGUCCCCAAAUGUAUGCUAAGUUGAAAAAACGAGGUUUGUCUGCCCAGACAGCUAGGAUGUUGGCUUGGAAGCAGCCAUUCAUUUAAAGAGUGCGUAACAGCUCACUAGUCGAGCGGUUUGGCGUGGAUAAUAAUCGGGCAUAAAUGUAUUACCGAAGCUAUGGAACAUCGCUUUAGCGAUGUUGGUAGGGGAGCAUUCCAUCACAGCGUCGAAGGUUUAAGAUAACUUAGACUGGAGCGGAUGGAAAAGCAAAUGUAGGUAUAAGUAACGAUAAGGAGGGCGAGAAACCCUCCCGCCGGAAGACUAAGGUUUCCUGAUCAACGCUAAUCGGAUCAGGGUUAGUCGGGGCCUAAGGUGUAGCCGAAUGGCGUAGCCGAUGGACGAACAGGUUAAUAUUCCUGUACUACUUUAUAGAGCGACGUGGGGACGGAGCAGUGAAAGUUCUGCGCACUGACGGAAUAGUGCGUUGAAGGGUGUAGAUAUUGAGAGGCGUAGGCAAAUCCGCGCUUUGAGUCGAACCUGAUAGUACCAAGCGCACUUGUGCAAUUGGAUAUGAAUGUAAACAGACUCCCAAGAAAAUCCGCUAAGCAUUAAUUUAUAGAGUACCCGUACCACAAACGGACACACGUGGUCAAGUAUAGCGUACUAAGGCGCUCGAGUGAUUCACAGCUAAGGAACUAGGCAAAAUAACCCCGUAACUUCGGGAGAAGGGGUGCUCCGUGUAAAAGUGGAGCCGCAGAGAAAUGGCCCAGGCGACUGUUUAACAAAAACAUAGGGCUUUGCAAAAUCGCGAGAUGAGGUAUAAGGCCUGACACCUGCCCGGUGCUGGAAGGUUAAGAGGAGAGGUUAGAGCAAUCGAAGCUUUGAAUUGAAGCCCCAGUAAACGGCGGCCGUAACUAUAACGGUCCUAAGGUAGCGAAAUUCCUUGUCGGGUAAGUUCCGACCUGCACGAAUGGUGUAACGAUCUGGGCACUGUCUCAGCCAUGAGCUCGGUGAAAUUGUAGUAUCGGUGAAGAUGCCGAUUACCCGCAACGGGACGGAAAGACCCCGUGAACCUUUACUGCAGCUUAACAUUGAAUUUGGGUAAUUGAUGUGUAGGAUAGGCCGGAGACUAUGAAGCAGGUACGCCAGUACAGGUGGAGUCAUCCUUGAAAUACGGCCCUUUAAUUAUUUGAGUUCUAAUUCCGCUCUGCGGAAGACACUGUUUGGUGGGUAGUUUGACUGGGGUGGUCGCCUCCAAAAGUGUAACGGAGGCUUCCA
rnacentral:rRNA from 1 species